rnacentral:rRNA from 1 species
UACGUAGGCAGCAAGCGUUGUUCGGAAUUACUGGGCGUAAAGAGUGUGUAGGCGGUGCUCUAAGUUCGGUGUGAAAUCUCCCGGCUCAACUGGGAGGGUGCGCCGGAAACUGGGGUGCUGGAGCGCGGGAGAGGAAAGCGGAAUUCCUGGUGUAGCGGUGAAAUGCGUAGAUAUCAGGAGGAACACCGGUGGUGUAGACGGCUCUCUGGACCAUAACUGACGCUGAGACACGAAAGCGUGGGUAGCAAACAGG